AGUGAACGCUGGCGGUAGGCCUAACACAUGCAAGUCGAACGGCAGCACAGUAAGAGCUUGCUCUUACGGGUGGCGAGUGGCGGACGGGUGAGGAAUACAUCGGAAUCUACUUUUUCGUGGGGGAUAACGUAGGGAAACUUACGCUAAUACCGCAUACGACCUACGGGUGAAAGCAGGGGAUCUUCGGACCUUGCGCGAUUGAAUGAGCCGAUGUCGGAUUAGCUAGUUGGCGGGGUAAAGGCCCACCAAGGCGACGAUCCGUAGCUGGUCUGAGAGGAUGAUCAGACAGACUGGAACUGAAACACGGUCCAGACUCCUAAGGGAGGCAGCAGUGGGGAAUAUUGGACAAUGGGCGCAAGCCUGAUCAAGCCAUAACGCGUGGGUGAAGAAGGCCUUCGGGUUGUAAAGCCAUGUUGUUGGGAAAGAAAAGCAGCAGGUUAAUACCCAGCUGUUCUGACGGUACCCAAAGAAUAAGCACCGGCUAACUUAGUG
rnacentral:rRNA from 1 species